GUCUAUGGCCACGCCACCCUGAACAAGCCCAAUCCCGUCUGAUCUCAGAAGCUACGUAGGGUUGGGUCGGGCCUGGUUAGUACUUGGAUGGGAGACCACCUAGGAAGACCAGAUGCUGUAGGUG
rnacentral:rRNA from 1 species